GGUUCGGUAGCUCAGUUGGUGGAACGUCUGCUUAACAUGCAGAAGGUCGUUGGUUCAAGCCCUUAUUUCGGCUUA